rnacentral:rRNA from 1 species
AUUGAACGCUGGCGGCAUGCCUUACACAUGCAAGUCGAACGGUAACAGGUCUUCGGAUGCUGACGAGUGGCGAACGGGUGAGUAAUACAUCGGAACGUGCCUAGUAGUGGGGGAUAACUACUCGAAAGAGUGGCUAAUACCGCAUGAGGUCUACGGAUGCAAGCAGGGGAUCGCAAGACCUUGUGCUACUAGAGCGGCCGAUGGCAGAUGAGGUAGCUGGUGGGAUAAAUACUUACCGAGCCGACGCUCUGUAGUUGGUCUGAGAGGACGAUCAGCCAAACUGGGACUGAGCCAAGGCCGAGGCUCCUACGGGAGGCAUCAGUGGGAAAUUUGAGAGAAGGGGCGAUAGACAGAUCCAGCAAUGCCGCGUGCAGGAUGAAGGCCUUCGAGUUGUAACCUGCUUUUGUAAGGAACGAAGAACCCCGGGUUAAUACCCUGGGGUCAUGACGGUACCGUAAGAAUAAGCACCGGCUAACAACGUGCCAGCCGCCGCUGUAA